rnacentral:rRNA from 1 species
GAUGAACGCUAGCUACAGGUCUUAACACAUGCAAGUCGAGGGGCAUCGGGAAGAAAGCUUGCUUUCUUUGCUGGCGACCGGCGCACGGGUGAGUAACACGUAUCCAACCUGCCCUUUACUCGGGGAUAGCCUUUCGAAAGAAAGAUUAAUACCCGAUAGCAUAAUGAUUCCGCAUGGUUUCAUUAUUAAAGGAUUCCGGUAAAGGAUGGGGAUGCGUUCCAUUAGGUUGUUGGUGAGGUAACGGCUCACCAAGCCUUCGAUGGAUAGGGGUUCUGAGAGGAAGGUCCCCCACAUUGGAACUGAGACACGGUCCAAACUCCUACGGGAGGCAGCAGUGAGGAAUAUUGGUCAAUGGGCGUUAGCCUGAACCAGCCAAGUAGCGUGAAGGAUGAAGGCUCUAUGGGUCGUAAACUUCUUUUAUAUAAGAAUAAAGUGCAGUAUGUAUACUGUUUUGUAUGUAUUAUAUGAAUAAGGAUCGGCUAACUCCGUGCCAGCAGCCGCGGUAAUACGGAGGAUCCGAGCGUUAUCCGGAUUUAUUGGGUUUAAAGGGAGCGUAGGUGGACUGGUAAGUCAGUUGUGAAAGUUUGCGGCUCAACCGUAAAAUUGCAGUUGAUACUGUCAGUCUUGAGUACAGUAGAGGUGGGCGGAAUUCGUGGUGUAGCGGUGAAAUGCUUAGAUAUCACGAAGAACUCCGAUUGCGAAGGCAGCUCACUGGACUGCAACUGACACUGAUGCUCGAAAGUGUGGGUAUCANACAGG